rnacentral:rRNA from 1 species
UGGGGAAUAUUGCACAAUGGGCGCAAGCCUGAUGCAGCCAUGCCGCGUGUGUGAAGAAGGCCUUCGGGUUGUAAAGCACUUUCAGCGAGGAGGAAGGUGGUGAGCUUAAUACGCUCAUCAAUUGACGUUACUCGCAGAAGAAGCACCGGCUAACUCCGUGCCAGCAGCCGCGGUAAUACGGAGGGUGCAAGCGUUAAUCGGAAUUACUGGGCGUAAAGCGCACGCAGGCGGUUUGUUAAGUCAGAUGUGAAAUCCCCGGGCUCAACCUGGGAACUGCAUUUGAAACUGGCAAGCUAGAGUCUCGUAGAGGGGGGUAGAAUUCCAGGUGUAGCGGUGAAAUGCGUAGAGAUCUGGAGGAAUACCGGUGGCGAAGGCGGCCCCCUGGACGAAGACUGACGCUCAGGUGCGAAAGCGUGGGGCAGCAAACAGGAUUAGAUACCCUGGUAGUCCACGCUGUAAACGAUGUCGAUUUGGAGGUUGUGCCCUUGAGGCGUGGCUUCCGGAGCUAACGCGUUAAAGUCGACCGCCUGGGGAGUACGGCCGCAAGGUUAAAACUCAAAGGAAUUGAC